AGCAGCCGCGGUAAUUCCAGCUCCAAUAGCGUAUAUUAAAGUUGUUGCAGUUAAAAAGCUCGUAGUUGAAUUUCGGGAUCAAAUUGUUGGUCGUGCUUCGGUACGCACUGGCAUUAUUGGUUCCUACCUUCUGAAGAACCGCGAUGUCAUUAAUUUGGUGUCGUGGGGAAUCAGGACUGUUACUUUGAAAAAUUAGAGUGUUUAAAGCAGGCUUACGCUUGAAUACAUUAGCAUGGAAUAAUGAAAUAGGACGUUUGAUUCUAUUUUGUUGGUUUCUAGGAUCGACGUAAUGAUUAAUAGGGAUAGUUGGGGGCAUUAGUAUUCAAUUGUCAGAGGUGAAAUUCUUGGAUUUAUUGAAGACUAACUACUGCGAAAGCAUUUGCCAAGGAUGUUUUCAUUAAUCUAAGAACGAAAGUUAGGGGGAUCGAAGACGAUCAGAUACCGUCGUAGUCUUAACCAUAAACUAUGCCGACUAGGGAUCGGAUGAUGUAAUUUUUAUGACUCAUUCGCGCCUUACGGA
rnacentral:rRNA from 1 species